rnacentral:misc_RNA from 1 species
AAAGUCGUAACAAGGUUUCCGUAGGUGAACCUGCGGAAGGAUCAUUACUGAUUUGGCGGACCGAGCGUCAGCGAGGUUCCGCGAUCGCCUGUAUUUAAAACCCACACUUUGAACCCACACUUUGAAUUAUGUAUAUUUUUUGUAUUUUUUAAAUGAUAAAAAAAAGAUCACUUUCAACAACGGAUCUCUUGGCUCUC